rnacentral:rRNA from 1 species
CCUACGGGGGGCAGCAGUGAGGAAUAUUGGUCAAUGGACGAGAGUCUGAACCAGCCAAGUAGCGUGAAGGAUGACUGCCCUAUGGGUUGUAAACUUCUUUUAUAUGGGAAUAAAAUGUUCCACGUGUGGGAUUUUGUAUGUACCAUAUGAAUAAGGAUCGACUAACUCCGUGCCAGCAGCCGCGGUAAUACGGAGGAUCCGAGCGUUAUCCGGAUUUAUUGGGUUUAAAGGGAGCGUAGGUGGAUUGUUAAGUCAGUUGUGAAAGUUUGCGGCUCAACCGUAAAAUUGCAGUUGAAACUGGCAGUCUUGAGUACAGUAGAGGUGGGCGGAAUUCGUGGUGUAGCGGUGAAAUGCUUAGAUAUCACGAAGAACUCCGAUUGCGAAGGCAGUUCACUGGACUGCAACUGACACUGAGGCUCGAAAGUGUGGGUAUCAAACAGGAUUAGAUACCCUUGUAGUC